AUUGAACGCUGGCGGCAGGCUUAACACAUGCAAGUCGAGCGAGCGGCGGACGGGUGAGUAAUGUCUGGGACACUGCCUGAUGGAGGGGGAUAACUACUGGACACGGUAGCUAAUACCGCAUACCAUCAGAAGUGCCCAGAUGGGAUUAGCUAGUAGGUGGGGUAAUGGCUCACCUAGGCGACGACCCCUAGCUGGUCUGAGGUGAUGCCCAGCCACACGGGAACUGAGACACGGUCCAGACUCCUACGGGAGGCAGCAGUGGGGAAUAUUGCACAAUGGGCGCAAGCCUGAUGCAGCCAUGCCGCGUGUAUGAAGAAGGCCUUCGGGUUGUAAAGCACUUUCAGCGAGGAGGCGUUACUCGCAGAAGAAGCACCGGCUAACUCCGUGCCAGCAGCCGCGGUAAUAC
rnacentral:rRNA from 1 species